GAAUGAAGACACCAGGAAAAUGAUCAAAUCAUGUGGAGCACUUCUGUUGAUUCCUACUAUUUUUGGAGAGAAGGCAUUGCUUUGUCAGCAUAGCCAGGAUAAAAAACGGACCAAUCGCCAAAAUCAUCUACAAAAGUAAGCCCGACAGUGCAGGUCUGACUCUGAGCAGUGAUCAUGAAAAAUUCACGGAAAUUCAGCAAUCAUCCUAUAUUACAUCAGAGAAUGAAGUCAUCUGCGAGAAAACCACCUACCUCAUGUCAGCAGUCUCUCUGCUUAUGUCGGCCCAUUAUGUAUUCAACUGAUCAUACACCCAAGAUGGGUAACACCCUCACAUUCAUUCAGAAGAUUCUGAUGAACAUAGAUUCCACAUCUCAACCCUCAUCCAAGGUCGUAAGAAGCCUGUAUGACUUAAAUGCUGUCCGAAAUGCUGAUGCCAGUAGUUCUUCAGUUUAAGAGAAAUUAAUUACCUGGCUGAUGCUACUGCAACACAGCUGAUCACACUUUCUCUACGUGCAAUCACCUUAGGUGUUGUAUCUGUCUUUUAUGUGCAGAAUAGAUUGAAAUAGAUACGACAGGUUGACCGUGAAUUUAGACAUCAAGUAUGUGCAUUAUUUCGCUUUGCUUCAGUACAAAUGUCAGUGGCCCUUGAAUUGGAAAUCUUUUCAUAUCCCAAGAAUUAUGUAUAAAUGCUUAAUGAAAUUUUUGUCACAGAUAAAAUAGGUUUUUGCACACACAAAA